GAUGAACGCUAGCUACAGGCUUAACACAUGCAAGUCGCAGGGUAACAUGAGGAAAGCUUGCUUUCCUUGAUGACGACUGGCGCACGGGUGAGUAACGCGUAUCCAACCUUCCCAUAACUACGGGAUAACCCGUUGAAAGACGGCCUAAUACCGUAUGAUAUCGUUUGCUGACAUCAAAUAACGAUUAAAGGUUUAGCGGUUAUGGAUGGGGAUGCGUCUGAUUAGCUUGUUGGCGGGGUAACGGCCCACCAAGGCGACGAUCAGUAGGGGUGCUGAGAGGAAGGUACACCACAUGGGAACUGGGACACGGACCACACUCCUACGGGAGGCAGCAGUGAGGAAUAUUGGUCAAUGGGCGAGAGCCUGAACCAGCCAAGUAGCGUGCAGGACGGCGGCCCUAUGGGUUGUAAACUGCUUUUAGGUGGGGAUAAAGUGCGUGACGUGUCAUGCAUUGCAGGUACCACAUGAAUAAGGACCGGCUAAUUCCGUG
rnacentral:rRNA from 1 species